rnacentral:rRNA from 1 species
UACCCACCUUUGACAUGUACGGAAUCCUUUAGAGAUAGAGGAGUGCUCGAAAGAGAGCCGUAACACAGGUGCUGCAUGGCUGUCGUCAGCUCGUGUCGUGAGAUGUUGGGUUAAGUCCCGCAACGAGCGCAACCCUUGCCAUUAGUUGCUACGAAAGGGCACUCUAAUGGGACUGCCGGUGACAAACCGGAGGAAGGUGGGGAUGACGUCAAAGUCCCUAUGG